rnacentral:rRNA from 1 species
ACGUAUGGUGCAAGCGUUAUCCGGAUUUACUGGGUGUAAAGGGAGCGUAGAUGGAGUGGCAAGUCUGAUGUGAAAACCCGGGGCUCAACCCCGGGACUGCAUUGGAAACUGUCAAUCUAGAGUACCGGAGAGGUAAGCGGAAUUCCUAGUGUAGCGGUGAAAUGCGUAGAUAUUAGGAGGAACACCAGUGGCGAAGGCGGCUUACUGGACGGUAACUGACGUUGAGGCUCGAAAGCGUGGGGAGCAAACAG